UCCGACUUAACGUCGGCAGUCUCUUUAGAGUUCCCAGCAUUACCUGAUGGCAACUAAAGACAAGGGUUGCGCUCGUUGCAGGACUUAACCUAACAUCUCACGACACGAGCUGACGACAGCCAUGCAGCACCUAUACAGCACUUCCCGAAGGAAUACCCCACUUUCAUGAGUUUAUACUGUACUUCGAGCCCAGGUAAGGUUCUUCGCGUUGCAUCGAAUUAAACCACAUGCUCCACCGCUUGUGCGGGCCCCCGUCAAUUCCUUUGAGUUUCACCCUUGCGAGCGUACUCCCCAGGUGGGUCACUUAAUGCGUUAGCGUCGUCACCGAAGGGGUCGAAUCCCCCGACGACUAGUGACCAUAGUUUACGGUGUGGACUAC
rnacentral:misc_RNA from 1 species